CGAUUACCAUACAACCACCGAAGUUAAGCAACGUUGAGCUUGGUUAGUAACUAGAUGGGUAACCACUUGGGAAUACCAGGUGCUGUAAG